rnacentral:lncRNA from 1 species
CAGAAAUGCAUUUCAAAAACUAAAGAUGCACAGUAAUGCCACAGCCUAAAUUUGAAAAAAAGUCCCUGGUUCCUCUUUUUGAGAGGGAGACUAAAGGUUUCUUUCUGGACUCUUCAAGCAAAAUAAACAAAAUACUCACUUCGAUCUUCUGACACACACUGAAGUUUUCAGGUAAGUUUGGACUGACAGCCUUGAAACAGUUGACUGGAAAAAUCAUUAAACCUUCCACAUGGACUCUGCUUUGCCUUCAGUCUGGUUGACCCAUCUCAUGACUGUGUCCCCAGGCAGUGCUGCCUGCUGGUCCUGAUGGAUGCUGCAACAGGAUCCUGUUAUGCAGAUGGCACAGUGCUGUCAUAGAAAAUUUUCAGUCACAGCAAGAGUUGAGGAAGAUUUUUGAAGAGUGGCUCUCCCAGGUAUUCUGUGAGCGCUUCGCAUCCAGCAAGUGGCCAUUCUCUACAGAUGUUGCCUUGGCACUUAAUCAUUUUGAUAAUUCUUUCAGAAAUAAACAACCACCACAAAAAACAUUUCCCCUUCUGAUAAGUGGCUUUGAAUCGCUAGAAAGCACUUUUUUUUUUUUUCCUUUUCUGUUUGAUGUAUAGGAAGAGGUAUUUCAUCUAAACAGUAUCAUAAUCUAUGUGUUUAACACAGCAGAACAUAUCUGAAAAAGGACCUAGUGUCCAGGUCAGACUUGGGCAUCCAGGGCUGGUGUACCUGCCCUCGUACUUAAUGUUAGCACAAGCGACUGCCUAAAACCAGGUCAGGUGUGUCCAUGUGUGUCACGGUUGUACCUCUGUUUGAAGCACAGAUAUGCCAGCAGAGUGGAGGACUUUGGCUUAGCUGGUCUGCAGAGUGUGUAAAAUCUGGUCAUUUUGGGGUGC